rnacentral:rRNA from 1 species
CAGCACGGGUACUUGUACCUGGUGGCGAGCGGCGGACGGGUGAGUAAUGCCUAGGAAUCUGCCUGGUAGUGGGGGAUAACGCUCGGAAACGGACGCUAAUACCGCAUACGUCCUACGGGAGAAAGCAGGGGACCUUCGGGCCUUGCGCUAUCAGAUGAGCCUAGGUCGGAUUAGCUAGUUGGUGAGGUAAUGGCUCACCAAGGCGACGAUCCGUAACUGGUCUGAGAGGAUGAUCAGUCACACUGGAACUGAGACACGGUCCAGACUCCUACGGGAGGCAGCAGUGGGGAAUAUUGGACAAUGGGCGAAAGCCUGAUCCAGCCAUGCCGCGUGUGUGAAGAAGGUCUUCGGAUUGUAAAGCACUUUAAGUUGGGAGGAAGGGCAGUAAAUUAAUACUUUGCUGUUUUGACGUUACCGACAGAAUAAGCACCGGCUAACUCUGUGCCAGCAGCCGCGGUAAUACAGAGGGUGCAAGCGUUAAUCGGAAUUACUGGGCGUAAAGCGCGCGUAGGUGGUUUGUUAAGUUGGAUGUGAAAUCCCCGGGCUCAACCUGGGAACUGCAUUCAAAACUGACAAGCUAGAGUAUGGUAGAGGGUGGUGGAAUUUCCUGUGUAGCGGUGAAAUGCGUAGAUAUAGGAAGGAACACCAGUGGCGAAGGCGACCACCUGGACUGAUACUGACACUGAGGUGCGAAAGCGU